rnacentral:rRNA from 1 species
AUUGAACGCUGGCGGCAGGCCUAACACAUGCAAGUCGAGCGGAUGAAGGGAGCUUUCUCCUGGAUUCAGCUGCGGACGGGUGAGUAAUGCCUAGGAAUCUGCCUGGUAGUGGGGGAUAACGUCCGUAAACGGGCGCUAAUACCGCAUACGUCCUGAGGGAGAAAGUGGGGGAUCUUCGGACCUCACGCUAUCAGAUGAGCCUAGGUCGGAUUAGCUAGUUGGUUGGGUAAAGGCCUACCAAGGCGACGAUCCGUAACUGGUCUGAGAGGAUGAUCAGUCACACUGGAACUGAGACACGGUCCAGACUCCUACGGGAGGCAGCAGUGGGGAAUAUUGGACAAUGGGCGAAAGCCUGAUCCAGCCAUGCCGCGUGUGUGAAGAAGGUCUUCGGAUUGUAAAGCACUUUAAGUUGGGAGGAAGGGCAGUAAGUUAAUACCUUGCUGUUUUGACGUUACCAACAGAAUAAGCACCGGCUAACUUCGUG